rnacentral:rRNA from 1 species
ACACGACUCUCGGCAACGGAUAUCUAGGCUCUCGCAUCGAUGAAGAACGUAGCAAAAUGCGAUACUUGGUGUGAAUUGCAGAAUCCCGUGAAUCAUCGAGUUUUUGAACGCAAGUUGCGCCCGAAGCCAUCCGGCCGAGGGCACGUCUGCCUGGGCGUCACGCAUCUCGUCGCCACCCCCUCCUCCCCGUCCUC